rnacentral:misc_RNA from 1 species
AAGUCGUAACAAGGUAACCGUAGGUGAACCUGCGGUUGGAUCAUUAACAAAAAAUUGGAAGGCUUUUCUGAAUACUCUUUGGAAAAGCCUUUUAAAAACACCAAUUGUGAACUGUAUUAUUGUUUCUUUUCUGUGGUUUUAUCAUGAACUUUAGCACACCCCGCUGGUUUUUGAUAGCCCAGAAAAAACCCCUUUUUAAACUAAAGAAUUAUACCAUUUUGACCAUUAAAUAAAAGUUUGAAAUUUUUUUUAAACAUUAAAUAAAUUAAAAAAACAACUUUUGGCAACGGAUCUCUAGGCUCUU